rnacentral:rRNA from 1 species
AGUGAACGCUGGCGGCAGGCCUAACACAUGCAAGUCGAACGGCAGCACAGUAAGAGCUUGCUCUUACGGGUGGCGAGUGGCGGACGGGUGAGGAAUACAUCGGAAUCUACUUUUUCGUGGGGGGUAACGUAGGGAAACUUACGCUAAUACCGCAUACGACCUACGGGUGAAAGCAGGGGAUCUUCGGACCUUGCGCGAUUGAAUGAGCCGAUGUCGGAUUAGCUAGUUGGCGGGGUAAAGGCCCACCAAGGCGACGAUCCGUAGCUGGUCUGAGAGGAUGAUCAGCCACACUGGAACUGAGACACGGUCCAGACUCCUACGGGAGGCAGCAGUGGGGAAUAUUGGACAAUGGGCGCAAGCCUGAUCCAGCCAUACCGCGUGGGUGAAGAAGGCCUUCGGGUUGUAAAGCCCUUUUGUUGGGAAAGAAAAGCAGCAGGUUAAUACCCCGCUGUUCUGACGGUACCCAAAGAAUAAGCACCGGCUAACUUCGUG